rnacentral:rRNA from 1 species
CAGCAGCAGCCGCGGGAAUACGAAGGGUGCAAGCGUUACUCGGAAUUACUGGGCGUAAAGCGUGCGUAGGUGGUGGUUUAAGUCCGUUGUGAAAGCCCUGGGCUCAACCUGGGAAUUGCAGUGGAUACUGGGUCACUAGAGUGUGGUAGAGGAUAGUGGAAUUUCCGGUGUAGCAGUGAAAUGCGUAGAGAUCGGAAGGAACAUCUGUGGCGAAGGCGACUAUCUGGGCCAACACUGACACUGAGGCACGAAAGCGUGGGGAGCAAACAGGAUUAGAGACCCCUGUAGUCCCUGUCUCUUAUAC